GACGAACGCUGGCGGCGUGCUUAACACAUGCAAGUCGAACGGAAAGGCCCUGCUUUUGUGGGGUGCUCGAGUGGCGAACGGGUGAGUAACACGUGAGUAACCUGCCCUUGACUUUGGGAUAACUUCAGGAAACUGGGGCUAAUACCGGAUAGGAGCUCCUGCUGCAUGGUGGGGGUUGGAAAGUUUCGGCGGUUGGGGCUGGACUCGCGGCUUAUCAGCUUGUUGGUGGGGUAGUGGCUUACCAAGGCUUUGACGGGUAGCCGGCCUGAGAGGGUGACCGGCCACAUUGGGACUGAGAUACGGAGCAGACUCCUACGGGAGGCAGCAGUGGGGAAUAUUGCACAAUGGGCGGAAGCCUGAUGCAGCAACGCCGCGUGCGGGAUGACGGCCUUCGGGUUGUAAACCGCUUUCGCCUGUGACGAAGCGUGAGUGACGGUAAUGGGUAAAGAAGCACCGGCUAACUACGUG
rnacentral:rRNA from 1 species